CACUUUGCACAGGGGCAGUAUUGUAGCCAAUGAGGUUUAUUUGAGGCGUGAUUGACUAUUGCUGAUUGAAACCUUUCCUCCCUGCCCUGUGGCGACUUGCAAUAUAGUCAGCAAUGGCAAUUUUUGACAGUCUCUCCAGAGA